rnacentral:rRNA from 1 species
GUUGAACGCUGGCGGCAGGCCUAACACAUGCAAGUCGAGCGGCGCGGCGGACGGGUGAGUAAUGCCUAGGAUUCUGCCUGGUAGUGGGGGAUAUCGUCCGGGGAGGAGCGCUAAUACCGCAUACUAUCAGAGCACCCUCGGUCGGAUUAGCUAGAUGGUGGGGUAAAGGCCUACCAGGGCGACGAUCCGUAACUGGUCUGAGAGGAUGAUCAGUCACCUUGGAAGUGACACACGGGCCAGACUCCUACGGGAGGCAGAAGUGGGGAAUAUCGGACAAGGGGCGAAAGCCUGAUCCAGCCAGGCCGCGUGUGUGAAGAAGGUCUUCGGAUUGUAAAGCACUUUAAGUUGGGAGGCGGUACCAACAGAAUAAGCACCGGCUAACUUCGUGCCAGCAGCCGCGGUAAUAC